rnacentral:lncRNA from 1 species
CCCAUCCUCUUGUUCACUUGGAACAGCAGUUUACAGUUACCUCAGGAUUUGGAAUGAAAAUGGCUUUCUUCUUUCUCACGACUGCAGGAUGGAACUGUGGCUUCCUCCUGGCAAUGGAACUGCAAUGAGUAAAUUUGAACGCAAGUUGAUUUAGUAUGGUUACUCUCGUUUUGAUUCAAUUUAUAGGGUGAACCUGGCCCACCAGGUCAGAUGGGGUCAACUGGUCCUUUGGGUCCCCGUGGAAUGGCAGGAGAAAGAGGACGCAUAGGACCCCAGGGUGCUCCAGGUGGUCGUGGUUCUCAUGGUAUGCCAGGGAAACCAGGGCCCAUGGUAAGUACCUCACUCCCACUUUUCUUUAUAUUUUCCCCCAACUUGUCCUUUGUGUCAAGUCA